GGUUGGUCCGAGUGCAGUGGUGUUUAUUUACAACUAAUUUGAUCACAGCCAGUUACAGAUUCCUUUGUUCCUUCUCCACUCUCCCUGCUUCACUUGACCAGCCUUUA
rnacentral:Y_RNA from 1 species